rnacentral:rRNA from 1 species
CAUCUGACCUCAAAUCAGGUAGGA